UACGAAGGGGGCUAGCGUUGCUCGGAAUUACUGGGCGUAAAGCGCACGUAGGCGGCUUGUUAAGUCGGGGGUGAAAUCCUGGAGCUCAACUCCAGAACUGCCUUCGAUACUGGCGAGCUCGAGUCCGGGAGAGGUGAGUGGAAUUCCUAGUGUAGAGGUGAAAAUUCGUAGAGAUCCGGAGGAACACCAGUGGCGAAGGCGACACGCUGGGCCGUACCUGACACUGAUGCGCGACAGCAUGGGGAGCAAGCAGG
rnacentral:rRNA from 1 species